rnacentral:lncRNA from 13 species
GUUUCAGCUUGUCAACCUAAUGUCACACCUUCACCUUCAGACAAGAAGAGAACACCGUCUAUUCAGGUUGGUUCAUAUUGUCUCUGACAUAAUCUCUGAUUUAAGAACCAAUGAGAAUAUAUGCUAGAUUUGAUCAAUUAGAUAAUAUCAUUAGAGGUUUUCAAAAAGACAUUGAGUGAGUAAAUUCAAUAACAUGUCAUUUUAUUAAUAAUAAUACAUGUUUUUUAUAUGGUGCUUUUCAAGGACCCAAAGUCACUUACUGUGUUCUGGUAUUGAUGCAUUUUCUAAUUGAAUGAGUUGAAAUGGAAUUGAACCAAAUCUUGGUUCCUUUGAUUGAUUCACAAUUGAUUCAUUCAAGUUUUACUGCUGCAUUAAAACAGAACAAAUCCUCGUGAAACCUCUUUAUUGUUGUAGAAUAUUGAAGCCCAACACACCAGUACAGACAGUGAAGAGAUGAACAUCUCAAUGACAAACAGUUCUUCAGUAGCUCCUCUCUAUGCACAAAUCAUAUCCAUCUACACUGCCUCCUAUACAAUCAACCUCAUCCUGGGUCUCACUACCAAUGUCUACGUCCUGUGGCUGAUACCGACUGGAGUGGGAGGGACAAUGGCCUCAGACUUCUUCUCUCUCAACCUGGCCGUGCUGGAUGUCCUCUACUGCCUGUUUUCUGUCUUUGUCCUUGUCAACAUGCACAUACCCACAACUGCACUUGCAUAUCUUGGAGCAUUUUCUUAUGGUUUCUUUAACACCGGUCGUCCCCUGUUCCAGUGCUCUAUCUGUGUCUAAUCUCUUCAACAUAUUAAUGCUUUAAAUAUGUAGUAUAUGUUAUUAUAUUUAGGUUCUGUG